GCAGGCGUCGCGAGCCCCGGCUCGACCCGGCUCGGAGGCCUGGCCGCUCUAGCCCCCGACUCGAAGGCUCCGGGACACCAGCCCUCUCCGCUCCGGUGGGCGCCGCGGCCUCGGAGACUAGUUCCGGGAGGGUCGAGGGACGGGCCCGGCCCGCCUCCCGCCGUGUCGCGGCGCACGUAGGUUCCCCGACCUGACAGUGUUGCCUGAGUUUCCAUGGCUCCAGGAUACCAGCCCUGAGGAAUGGAUGUUCUCAGAGAAGCUCCUGUCCCCAGCCCUGCCCUGAGCUCCAGGCUCUGAUGGGGUGCUCCAACAGGGCCCCCGAGCAGGACUGGAGGCAGUCAGAGAAGGACCAGUGGGAGCAGCUGGCAGAAAGCAGGCGGCAGAGGGCCGAGCUGGCCAACCAUCUUCGGGCAGUGCUGGAGGCCCUUUCGGAGCAAGCCCUUGUGCUGCAGAGGCGAGAGCAUGAGCUGGGACUCAGCUGGUCCUGAAGCAGAAACAUGCCACAGCAGUUCUGCUGGCCUCCACCCUGAAACCGGUCAGCAGCUGGAGAGCAGCUGGAGAGGCAGUGUAUCUCGGGCCCAGCUGGAGGCAGAGGAUGCACAGCUGGAGCCUGUCGUGAUAGAUAACAGCCGAAAGCAGCCCCUCAGGGCCCCAGGGCACGGGUCCAUGCUGGGCUGUCAGCUGGGCUGUUGGCUGCCAGUCCGCCUGUGUUAUCAGAGGCUGCAGACACUGCCCUGCCUGGUGGGAGGCAGGGAAGCUACGCCUACCUAUCCGAGGCUCUGUGCUGCCUUUGACCCUCCCACUCAGCCUCCUCCCAGCAGGUGGAGUGCUCCCUGGCCUGCCUGGAGCAGGAGAGGCACCAAAGGCAGGGAUCCCAGGGACAGGCUGAGUGGAGGAGGCCAGACCAGGACAUAGAAGACAAGAUCCUGCUGCUGCAGACAGAAGUGGAAAAGGCCCAGUGGCGUUUGGACCAGAUGACCCACAGCCUCUUGGCCCAGAGCCCAGCCUGGGGAUACCCCAAUACACUCCAGGUCCCGGAGGUACCAGUGCCCCUCAGGAAACAGCUAGAAGCACAAGAAUCACAUCCCAGGCUUCAUGAGGAGAUGGCUGAGUACUGGAGGACACGCUGGCACCAGGUGGCAGUUGCCCUGAAAUUUAAAGAGGAGGAAUUGCAGAGACUCCAGAGGCAGAGUGGGACCUGGCCUCCCCAGCCUCAGCUUGUGGAUCCAGAGCUGGGUACUGAGCCGUACUGGACCAGUGGGCCCCCUCCUGGGAUCGCUGGACUUGGAGCAGAAGAAUUCCUCCAGGACUGGACUGGACACACAAAACUUGGGAACUGUCAACUGCCCUGUUAUUCACCUCGUGAAAAAAGCUGGAUUUAAAUGAGAGCGAAUGGAGCUGACAAUUCCCAGAAACUCGAAUUGAGAUGGUGAGAUUUUAGUUCAGCCCAGGGCGGUCUCAUGAGUGGGUGGUAAAGUUGAGCUUUGAGGUGGUCUUCAGAAGGAGAGGAAUACCCUCCGCGGGCAGAGCUUCCCGGGUUCCGGGCCCUUUGGGACGUCAACACAGGUCUAGCUGCCCUUAGGCUCCUCCGCACACCCUGGUUCCAAUAAUAAAUCCCUUUCCUCUCUGCCGCC
rnacentral:lncRNA from 1 species